AUUGAACGCUGGCGGCAGGCUUAACACAUGCAAGUCGAACGGCAGCACGGGUGCUUGCACCUGGUGGCGAGUGGCGAACGGGUGAGUAAUACAUCGGAACGUACCUUAUCGUGGGGGAUAACGCAGCGAAAGCUGUGCUAAUACCGCAUACGCCCUGAGGGGGAAAGCGGGGGAUCGCAAGACCUCGCGCGAUUAGAGCGGCCGAUGCCUGAUUAGCUUGUUGGUGGGGGAAAAGCCCACCAAGGCGACGAUCAGUAGCUGGUCUGAGAGGACGAUCAGCCACACUGGGACUGAGACACGGCCCAGACUCCUACGGGAGGCAGCAGUGGGGAAUUUUGGACAAUGGGGGCAACCCUGAUCCAGCAAUGCCGCGUGAGUGAAGAAGGCCUUCGGGUUGUAAAGCUCUUUUGUCAGGGAAGAAACACCGGCUCUAACACAGUCCGGGAAUGACGGUACCUGAAGAAUAAGCACCGGCUAACUACGUGCCAGCCGCCGCAGUAAUAC
rnacentral:rRNA from 1 species